GAGAGCCGUGUGAUAGGUGACUAUCCAGCACGGUUCGGAGAGCAAUUUUCGUUUAUGUGUUUGUGAGAAACACACCAGCAGCGCUGGUGAAUGGAAGUAGCCAAAAACUACUACCUUAACACUAAU
rnacentral:ncRNA from 1 species